UGAGUAACACGUUGGUGACCUGCCCCGAGAUGAGGAAUAACUCUGGGAAACCAGAGCUAAUACCUCGGAUGUCUAGACUGUUAGAGGGUUUAGACUAAAGCUCCGGCGUCUCGGGAGGGGCCUGCGGGCUAUCAGCUAGUUGGUGGGGUAAUGGCCUACCAAGGCUAAGACGGCUAGGGGACGUGAGAGCGUGAUCCCCCACAAUGGAACUGAGACACGGUCCAUACUCCUACGGGAGGCAGCAGUGAGGAAUAUUGCGCAAUGGGGGCAACCCUGACGCAGCAACGUCGCGUGGAUGAUGACGGCCUUCGGGUUGUAAAAUCCUUUUCUGAGGGACGAUAAUGACGGUACCUCAGGAAUAAGUCCCGGCUAACUACGUGCCAGCAGCCGCGGUAAAACGUAGGGGGCAAGCGUUAUCCGGAUUUACUGGGCGUAAAGCGCGCGUAGGCGGCAUUGUAAGUUGGAUGUGAAAGCUCCCGGCUCAACUGGGAGAGGUCGUUCAAAACUGCGGUGCUCGAGGUUGACAGAGGAGAGUGGAAGUCCCGGUGUAGUGGUGGAAUGCGUAGAUAUCGGGAGGAACACCAGUGGCGAAAGCGGCUCUCUGGGCCACACCUGACGCUGAGGUGCGAAAGCGUGGGUAGCGAACGGGAUUAGAUACCCCGGUAGUCCACGCCGUAAACGAUGGAUACUAGGUGUAGGAGGUUAUUCAACCCUUCUGUGCCGAAGCAAACGCGUUAAGUAUCCCGCCUGGGGACUACGGCCGCAAGGUUAAAACUCAAAGGAAUUGACGGGGGCCCGCACAAGCAGCGGAGCGUGUGGUUUAAUUCGAUGAUACGCGAAGAACCUUACCUGGGCUGAACUACGUGGUAGUAGUGAAGCGAAAGCGGAUCGACCCUUCGGGGAGCCUCGAUAGGUGCUGCAUGGCUGUCGUCAGCUCGUGUCGUGA
rnacentral:rRNA from 1 species